UGAGUAACACGUAUCCAACCUGCCGUCUACUCUUGGCCAGCCUUCUGAAAGGAAGAUUAAUCCAGGAUGGCAUCAUGAGUUCACAUGUCCGCAUGAUUAAAGGUAUUUUCCGGUAGACGAUGGGGAUGCGUUCCAUUAGAUAGUAGGCGGAGUAACGGCCCACCUAGUCAACGAUGGAUAGGGGUUCUGAGAGGAAGGUCCCCCACAUUGGAACUGAGACACGGUCCAA
rnacentral:rRNA from 1 species